UGUACACGCUGUGACUAGCAUAUCAAUAAGCGGAGGAAAAGAAACUAACAAGGAUUCCCCUAGUAACGGCGAGUGAAGCGGGAAGAGCUCAAAUUUGAAAUCUUAAAGGGUUUCCCUUUACGAAUUGUAGUUUAAAGAAGUGUUUUCUGUUGAGGUUUUGGUAAAAGUUCUUUGGAAUAGGACAUCAUAGAGGGUGAGAAUCCCGUAUUUGACCUUUACUUUCAGCUUUGUGAUACACUUUCAAAGAGUCGGAUUGUUUGGGAAUGCAGUCCAAAAUGGGUGGUAAAUUUCAUCUAAAGCUAAAUAUUGGCGAGAGACCGAUAGCGAACAAGUACCGUGAGGGAAAGAUGAAAAGAACUUUGAAAAGAGAGUUAAACAGUACGUGAAAUUGUCAAAAGGGAAGCGUUUGACACCAGUGUUGUUUUUCUGAAAAUCAAUUAAAGAACUGUUUAUGCUAAGUUGUUUAGACUUUAUCAGCUAACUGUUUAGUUUUGAGCUUUUCUUUAAUGCACUUUUCAGUUAACAAGUCAACAUCAAUUUCUUUUGCUGUAAAAAAGCUUGAGGAAGGUGGCUUGAGAUUCGUCUUAAGUGUUUAUAGCCUCUUGCCUAUGCAGUCGGAGAGAUUGAGGUCUGCAGCGUAGAUCCUUCGGGGCUAAAUGCAUUUGUGCUAAGUUAUAGCAUUUUAUAGACAACUUGUUGACUAUGAUUUGUCUUGUAGCUUACUCGCUUAUGUUAUUUUACCUACGCUUAGGAUGUUGACGCGCGUGUGUGCGUG
rnacentral:rRNA from 1 species